rnacentral:rRNA from 1 species
AGUGGCGAAAGGGGCAGUAAGGCGUGGGUAACCUACCUCGAGGACCGGCAUAGCCUCUCUAACGAGAGGGUAAUUCCGGGCGCGGUAACCGAGACGCAUGUUCUGGUUAUGGGAUGAGUUUCGCCUCGAGACGGGCUCACGUGGUAUUAGCUAGUUGGUGAGGUAACGGCUCACCAAGGCCGAGAUGCCUAGCAGGUGUGAGAGCACGACCUGCGCCACUGGCACUGAGACACUGGCCAGACUCCUACGGGAGGCUGCAGUCGAGGAUCUUCGGCAAUGGGCGCAAGCCUGACCGAGCGACGCCGCGUGUGCGAUGAAGGCCUUCGGGUUGUAAAGCACUGUCGAGGGGGAGAAAAGCCCGCAAGGGUCUGAUCUAUCCCUGGAGGAAGCACGGGCUAAGUUCGUGCCAGCAGCCGCGGUAAGACGAACCGUGCGAACGUUGUUCGGAUUCACUGGGCUUAAAGGGCGCGUAGGCGGGCACGCAAGUCAGGGGUGAAAUCUUUCAGCUUAACUGGAAAACAGCCUUUGAUACUGCGUGUCUGGAGGAAGGUAGGGGCAUGCGGAACUUCCGGUGGAGCGGUGAAAUGCGUAGAUAUCGGAAGGAACGCCGGUGGCGAAAGCGGCGUGCUGGACCUUUUCUGACGCUGAGGCGCGAAAGCCAGGGGAGCAAACGGGAUUAGAUACCCCGGUAGUCCUGGCCCUAAACGAUGGGUACUAGA